GUUGGUAUAGCUCAGUGGUACACUGUGUGCUUUAAACAUAUGAUAUCCUGGGUUCAAUCCCCAGUUUAUCCC